rnacentral:rRNA from 2 species
ACGGAGGGUGCAAGCGUUAAUCGGAAUUACUGGGCGUAAAGCGCACGCAGGCGGUCUGUCAAGUCGGAUGUGAAAUCCCCGGGCUCAACCUGGGAACUGCAUUCGAAACUGGCAGGCUAGAGUCUUGUAGAGGGGGGUAGAAUUCCAGGUGUAGCGGUGAAAUGCGUAGAGAUCUGGAGGAAUACCGGUGGCGAAGGCGGCCCCCUGGACAAAGACUGACGCUCAGGUGCGAAAGCGUGGGGAGCAAACAGG